UGUGGAGGCUGUGCGAGUGAGAAUGCAGGCAUGAGUAGCGAAUGACACGUGAGAAACGUGUCCUCCGGAUGACCAAGGGUUCCUGGGCUAGGUUAAUCCUCCCAGGGUGAGUCGGGACCUAAGGCGAGGCCGACAGGCGUAGUCGAUGGACAACGGGUUGAUAUUCCCGUACCCGUGUCAGAUCGCCCCUGAUGAAUCAGUUGUACUAACCGUCCUGAAGCUCAGGUCAUCACCUUCGGGUGAAGCCUAAGUGGAUGCACGGGACCUCGGUUGGUAGUAGUCAAGCGAUGGGGUGACGCAGGAAGGUAGUGGGGCCAGUCAGUGGUUGUACUGGUGUAAGCCUGUAGGGCGAGAUCUAGGCAAAUCCGGAUCUCAUGAGCCUGAGAGGUGAUGCGUAGCCGUUGCGGUGAAUUCCAUGAUCCUAUGCUGCCGAGAAAAGCCUCUAGCGAGAUCUGAUGUGGCCCGUACCCCAAACCAACACAGGUGGUCAGGUAGAGAAUACCAAGGAGAUCGAGAGAACUGUGGUUAAGGAACUCGGCAAAAUGCCCCCGUAACUUCGGGAGAAGGGGGACCUCGCAUGGUGACCGGACUUUGCUCCGUGAGCGGUGUGGGGUCGCAGAGACCAGAGAGAAGCGACUGUUUACUAAAAACACAGGUCCAUGCGAAGUCGUAAGACGAUGUAUAUGGACUGACGCCUGCCCGGUGCUGGAAGGUUAAGAGGACCGGUUAGCCGUAAGGCGAAGCUGAGAAUUUAAGCCCCAGUAAACGGCGGUGGUAACUAUAACCAUCCUAAGGUAGCGAAAUUCCUUGUCGGGUAAGUUCCGACCUGCACGAAUGGCGUAACGACUUCUCUGCUGUCUCAACCACAGACUCGGCGAAAUUGCAGUACGAGUAAAGAUGCUCGUUACGCGCGGCAGGACGAAAAGACCCC
rnacentral:rRNA from 1 species